UUUUCUGCUCCCACCCCUACCCUGCAUGUAGGACAGGGCUCCAGGCUGCUGUUCACUACCCUCUUUGGGGCAUGUCUCCCAUGGCUUGGGGCACAGCGAUGCCACUGGUAUCAGAUCCAGAAUGCUGCUGUGUCUGGGCUGGGAGCGCUGCCAGGGUUCAGUGUUUUUAUUGACAGCAGCUUCCAAAAGAAGCCAAUAUCUCGCAGUGUCCUCCCACGGGGAAGGGCAAGUCAGUCUGCAGGCAGAGGUGCUGCAGUAGCAGUACGACAGUGGGCAGAUGGGGUUUGCUGGCAGGGGCAGAGCACGGCCCUGCAUGGAGUGGUGUGGGGCAUCCUGGGGCUUGUGGCAAUACUGGGGAAAGAAAAGGGGAACGUGUCUACAACAGUGUUUUUUCUUUAAUUGUCUUUCCCUUCCUUUCCUUUUUAGAUAACUGGAUUGAUAAACCAGAUGAAGCCAGGGUGGUGAAACUGGAGAGAAAGGGUUUUGGCUGAUGCUGGACGCAGAACUGACUGCCUGCACAGCAAGAGCUGCAAAUCAAAAUGAAGAGGAUGAAAAGGGACUUCAAGGAGAAAGUACUUGAUGUGUACUUGAUGUGCAUGGUGAGGAGAUCCCAGAUGUGGAGAAACAGCAAGUGGCUGCAGAGAAGCAGGAGCUGGAAAGGAAAUUCUCCUGUUUGAGUGAGGAGGUACGCCACGGGCUGUGGCGUGGGCUGGUCAAUGGGCUGAAAAAAAGAACUUGAGGACACCAAGAGAGAAAUGGCUCCUGCUGCUGUGCUUCCAGGCACUGCAGGGAUCAUCCAGCCACCACCAGCACCUCCGCUGCCAGGGAGCUCCAGCACCCAUCUGCCUCCACCAGGAGUGGCCGUUCUCCCCCCUUCAGCUGGCUUCGGAUUCAGGGCAGCCUCCGCACCUCGGGUGCGUCCGUGGGGAUUGUCCCCACAGCGGGUUCGUGAGCCAGCAGUACAGCUGCAGAGACCGAAUUGGACCAAGGUAAGACCUGCCUGUAAAGGCUGCCUCGCACCUUUCACUCAAGCAAACUCCUCCUUCCUUGUGUCUCACGUCACCCUUUUUAAGGCUUUUCAUGGCACUGCUUCCUAUAGUCUAUAGAAAAGUCUGUUUUCUGUACAGGAGGUGAUUUCAUUGCAACUUCUGUGUGCAGAGAGGGUGAGGCAGAGCAGCACAGGGAGCAGAAAUCCUUGGAGGCUCUGGGGGUUGCUGGUGGGCCAGAUGCCCUUUGCAGCAUGACGUGCCCCUUUCCACGUGUCAAGAGGAGAGGUGCAGACUGUUCCUUAGCCUGUAGCCACCGAUGAAUGCACUCUCUGGUAUUUAAUGAAGUUUAUGUUUGUGGUGUUAACUGAAGGCUUUCAGCCCUCUCUCCUGUAGAAAGUGUUGUGAGGUGGCUUUGUGUUAGCACCCCAUUCAAUAAUCCCAGCUGUGUGAAUAUGGAAGCAGCAGGUAACCACACUGCUCGAUAAAAGUACAUGACAUGGGUACUGGUAAAGAGAGCCCAGCAUUUGGUUGUGUGGUUCUGGGCUGUCUCUUGCUAGGACUCCGCCAGCUCCUUGUCGGGAUUUGGAGCCCAUGCCUGGAGGGAGGCUGGGCUAGGUCUGUACCUGCAGCCAGGUGCCCACCUCCCAUCUCCAGGCCCUCCGGUUUGCAGCCUGCUGGUUUGUGCUUUCCUCUGCCACCUUUGAAGGCUCUGGUGGGCUCAAAGGUCUUCAUUGCUGACCUGAGUUGCGUCACCUGUGUGAGAGUUGGCUUAAUAAGCUGUCAGUACCUAGUAAGAUCUGGAGAAGGUUUUGGAAGCCCUUCAGGACAGCUAGGUCCUCUCCAGCCACGAGGGGUCUCUUGGCUCUGUGCCCACAUCUUGGUGUGACUCGCAAGCAGCUUGUGAAGCGGAGCAGGAGUCAGCUGUAGGCAGUGUUCAUGGUGGUGGCAGAGGGCAGGCUGUGCAGUGAUGAACUCCAUGGCAGGACCAAUGGCAGGAGAAGACAGCAGUCAGCCUUCCUCAGGAGUGUGUGCAGUAGCUGGAGAUGGUCCAGGCUGCACUAGCUGGGCUUACUGGCCAGAAAAUGGGUGAAAGAAGUGAGGUCCUUGCGCUGCUUUGAGCUAGAGGUGACUGAGUAAUGUCCCCUGUCUGCCACAAGCCUCCCCUGGGCUUUUGCUGUUUCCCUGCCUUUGUGCAUGGGGAAGAACAGCAGGACCCAGGCAGCUGCACAAGCACACUGCCUGGGCAGAGGGAGCCUGCGGUGCAUCUGCCCUCUGCUCCUCCUGGAGCUCCAGCCCUGUCCUUUAGAGGGAGCUUGUCCCUGUCCUCAAGACAGGGUUUGUAGCUGUGUUAUGUUCUGAUGCUUCGGGCGGGCCCUGAGCCCCUGCGAUAGAGGGGAUGCAUAAAUAUGAGGGCUGGAAGGUGGUGAGCAUAGACAUCUCCCUUAUGUUCCUCACAAGGUGGAAGUGGGGAAGAGGCUCCUGCCUUUGAGCUUUCCUUCUGCCUUAAAAUGACCUUGGUCAAGGGAAGGGAGCUGCAUAUUCCUCAGAGACCUGUUCUUCUGCAGACACAUCCUGACAUCCACAGGCCAGGCCUCAGCAGAGAACAGGCUGCCUCGCAGUGGCCGCCAGGUGGUGUUUGCAGUCUGGAUGCAGCCCUUUUCCUAAUGCUUCCUUCCAUGAUUUCCUGGCUUCCCCAGCACAUCUCAGCCUCUGUGGGCAGGUGAUGUUUGCUCUGAUCUCCAGGAACUUGUAAUAUCAGAUCCGGAGCACACAAAUGUGCUGCAAAGCUGUGGCACAUCGUCUCAACUGUUUUGUUCCACAUGCACAGGCAGGAGUAGGGUGAGGGAAGGGCCAGGGAAGCUUCUGGGAGCAGCAGGCAGCUCGUUGUGCCACCUGUGCCAUCCUGGGGCUGUGUGUAGGCUUGUGUUUAGUCUCUUAAAUGGCUGCAGCAUCACCUGGGGACAGUUUUCCACUCUGCGUCUGCACGGUAACACAAAAGGCAUUACACAUCCUAUCCACGUUUUGCCUUUUGGCAUCAAUGCAAGUGGAUGCUUACCUUCCAGGUAACUUUGGUAUUCUGGAGUUCACAGUGAUAGGGAAGGACCUGGAAAUUCCCAGGCAGAAAUGACAUCUGCCUGUGUUUCUGGAAGCAUCUGUGCUUUCUCAUCUUUCCUCUGCUGUCCAGUGCCUCAUCCCUUAUGCAGCCUGGCUGUAGCCGAGUCUCUAAGCAGUUAUUGAAUCCUGCAGGGCAGGCUGUGAUGGGGUUAACUGCCUGUGCAGCGUGGGCAUCUCUGGAAUGCUGAUCUCAGGGUCUGCUCAGCUCCCACAGGCUGAAGGAGCACAAAACUUAACAGCAUCCAUGAGCUCCCAUUGCUCUGGGUGCCUGGUAAGGACCCUGUUAGCUUCUGAGCACAGCUUAAAUUAAUUGGGCCCAGAGUUAGCCCCAGGCCCUGCACCACUUCUGCUCUGCUGAGCAACUGGGAGCCGGGGGUGGCAUGGGAAAUUAAUGAGGUGGCUUGUGUCCCCCACACUGGGGGCUGUGCCAGGCCCCAAAACACAGCACACCAGGGUUUGUCAACCUUGCUGUUGCUCACAGCCCUUGGGCUCUUAAGCCAGAGCUGUGGUACAAGCUGGGAGAAGGUCUGUGCAUCCUCCUGAAGGGAAAAUCCAUAUUGUUUUAGGUCUGUACCCUGUCAUUUAUUCUGGUAAUUAAUGGGACUGCCUCACUUGGACCCUUGCCCUUUCUUCAGCUGUGCUGGGAUGGGUCAUUUGCAUCUCUGCUCUGCCUUAGUUUUCCUUCCUCCUAAUUACCCAGAGCAAGCACAACUAGCUAACCUAGCCAAAAAGGGAAUAGAGAGAAAGCCCUGUGAAGGGGACCACAGAUGAAGCGUAGGGAUGAGAUGCCCUCCAAAACUGAGGGAGCUGCCGUCUGCAGGAGCAGAAUUUGGGACCCUGCAUGGUCAGGGCAGAGCAGUGGCUGGGGUCACCCCGCAUCUUGCUGCUGCCAGGAGCUUGUAUCUAAUUUUUCAGAGGACAUUAGAGCAUUUUGGCCUAAAUAUGCUGUCAUGCCUUCAGAAACAGACCUGGCAAUGCUGUCACUGAUAAGU